rnacentral:tRNA from 1 species
ACGUAGUGCAGAGGUUAGCAUGUCUGCCUAAGAAGCUAAAGGACUGGGUUCGAAUCCUGGCGU